rnacentral:lncRNA from 1 species
UAUUUACUAGGAAUUAUAUAAGAUUUCAGCUACACGGUCUCUAUUGUAGCUAAAGAAACUUAUUUUUUGACAGAUUGUCUUUUUUGGCAACCAUGCUUCUCAUUUUAUGGUAGCAUCUUUCAACAAUGUUGAGUAGUUUGUUUAGCUUCUCUACAAUAUAAGCAUAAGCCGUCUUGACAUCAUUGAGUCUUUUCCUACUCUGUGAAGGAUUUAAAAUAUACUAUAUCAAUUUGCAUUAGUUUUGGCCUUGAUGAAUAAGUUUGUGAAAACUUGUGAGCUGUCAUUGUCAGGAUAGAAAGAGUUUGCCUCAAGAAAGCACUAGGCUCAUGGCUACCACUAAUUACUCAAUCAAGUCUUGAGAUAAGAAAGACCAAGAGUAUAUAUAUAUAUA